rnacentral:lncRNA from 1 species
GGGAUCAUUUGGCCUACGAGAACUGGCCCGAUUCAAAGAGCUGUUGGACAGGCCUGUCAGACUGAAGCCUAGUUGGCCCGAUAAUGAAGAUAGGACUAUGUAGCCUUAGAAGUUCUAAUUGUAUACAGCUUCUAAUUCUGUAAAGUUAGAGUCCUAAUCGAAUACAGCUUUUAAUUGUAGCCAUCGGUUUUGGGGGAGCUCAACUAUAAAUACAGAGCCUCCCCCUCAUUUGUACUCACUCCUGAAUUGUUUCAUUAUUCUUUAUGAAUAAGAAUUGAGAGCAUUUACUCAAACUUUUCUCUCAAGCGUUCUUGCUUUUGUUCAUCUUUCAAAGAUCGUUCUUAAUUCGUUCUUCCGCUGUUCUUCAUGGAAACUUUAAGGGAAUUCUGUUGAAUCCUUUAUUGUUGCGAGUUGAGCUGACUUAGGCGUUUUUACGGUUGAAUCCUUUAUCGAUGCAAGUUAGGCUGACUUAGGCGUUUUUAAGCCAAGAAACUGCCUAAGGCCGCACGGAUGUGUGGGAAAACUCCAAGUCCGUGACA